ensembl:snoRNA
AGUGAACGAUGUGCAUGGUGAUGGUCCAUGUUAUGUGUUGUUGCUGAACUGUGUUUUGCAGUUUAACAGCAGUGCUCACACCACACCUGCAGCCAUAGAACAACUGGGGAUCAUAGUACUGGCCUUUGACUGUCUUUCUUUUGGCAUCUCUGCAUUGGCCAGCCUCCAAACUCUCCAACAUAA